rnacentral:rRNA from 1 species
UACGGAGGGAGCUAGCGUUGUUCGGAAUUACUGGGCGUAAAGCGCACGUAGGCGGCUUUUCAGUCAGGGGUGAAAUCCCGGGGCUCAACCCCGGAACUGCCCUUGAAACUGGAGAGCUAGAAUCUUGGAGAGGCGAGUGGAAUUCCGAGUGUAGAGGUGAAAUUCGUAGAUAUUCGGAAGAACACCAGUGGCGAAGGCGACUCGCUGGACAAGUAUUGACGCUGAGGUGCGAAAGCGUGGGGAGCAAACAGG